GUCGUAACAAGGUUUCCGUAGGUGAACCUGCGGAAGGNUCAUUAGUGAACGCCCGCAAGGGCUUAUAACUUUCCAAAUCUCUGUGAACCGUGCCCUUCGGGGCUUUUUACAAACAUCGUGUAAUGAACGUUAUUAUUUUAACAAAACAAAACUUUCAACAACGGAUCUCUUGGCUCUCGCAUCGAUGAAGAACGCAGCGAAAUGCGAUAAGUAAUGUGAAUUGCAGAAUUCAGUGAAUCAUCGAAUCUUUGAACGCAACUUGCGCCCUCUGGUAUUCCGGAGGGCAUGCCUGUUUGAGUGUCAUGUAGACUCAAUCCCUCGGGUUUCUGAGGAGGUUGGAUUUGGGUGUUUGCCUUCUGGCUCGCCUUAAAGGACUUAGCAGGAUAGCACUGUAGUCGACGUAAUAAGUCUCGUUGGUGAAAGUGUGAUGUCUGCUUACAAAUUGCCCUUGGGCACUUUUGACUCUGACCUCAAAUCAGGUAGGACUACCCGCUGAACUUAAGCAUAUCAAUAAGCGGAGGAAAAGAAACUAACAAGGAUUCCCCUAGUAGCGGCGAGCGAAGUGGGAAGAGCUCAAAUUUGAAAUCUGGCGUCCUCCGGGCGUCCGAGUUGUAAUCUAUAGAAACGUUUUCUGCGCUGGACCGUGUCCAAGUCCCUUGGAACAGGGUAUCAAAGAGGGUGACAAUCCCGUACUUGACACGACGACCGGUGUUCUGUGAUACGUUUUCUACGAGUCGAGUUGUUUGGGAAUGCAGCUCAAAAUGGGUGGUAAAUUCCAUCUAAAGCUAAAUAUUGGCGAGAGACCGAUAGCGAACAAGUACCGUGAGGGAAAGAUGAAAAGCACUUUGGAAAGAGAGUUAAACAGUAUGUGAAAUUGUUGAAAGGGAAACGAUUGAGGUCAGUCGUGUCUGUGGGAUUCAGCUGUCUCUGGCAGUGUACUUCCCACGGAUGGGUCAACAUCAGUUUUGGCCGGUGGACAAGGGCAAGAGGAAUGUGGCACCCUCGGGUGUGUUAUAGCCUCCUGUCACAUACAUCGGCUGAGACUGAGGAAUGCAGCUUGCCUUUAUGGCUGGGGUUCGCCCACGUUCAAGCUUAGGAUGUUGACAUAAUGGCCUUAAACGACC
rnacentral:rRNA from 1 species